GACUGACUGAGUGUACAGCGAGACUGCCCUGCCCAGUGACUUUAGUUAACGGCCGCGGUAUCCUGACCGUGCAAAGGUAGCAUAAUCGCUUGUUCUCUAAAUAAGGACUAAUAUGAAUGGCCCAACGAGGGUUUUACUGUCUCUUACUUCCAAUCAGUGAAAUUGAUGUUCCCGUGAAGAAGCUGGAAUAAGAAAUUUAUACUAUAAGACCCUAUGGAGCUUUAAUUAACUAGGCCUACCACUAAUCACAUAGCAGUCACAAGAAACAACCGCUUAAAAAUUAGGCUGGCAAUUUGGGUUGGGGUGACCUCGGAAUAAAAACCAACUCCCGAACAAAAAAAAAUAAGACCUACAAGUCAAAAAUACUUUUCCCACUGAUCCUUUUAAGAACGAUCAACGAAACAAGUUACCCUAGGGAUAACAGCGCACUCCUAUUUAAGAGUCCCUAUCGACAAUUAGGGUUUACGACCUCGAUGUUGGAUCAGGACAUCCCAAUGGUGCAAAAGCUAUGAAUGUGUUCGUUUGUUCAACGAUUAAAGUCCUACGUGAAUAGUUUCUAAACGGGGGAGGGGAAAUUAA
rnacentral:rRNA from 1 species